AGAGUUUGAUCAUGGCUCAGGACGAACGCUGGCGGCGUGCUUAACACAUGCAAGUCGAACGGAAAGGCCCUUCGGGGUACUCGAGUGGCGAACGGGUGAGUAACACGUGGGUGAUCUGCCCUGCACUCUGGGAUAAGCCUGGGAAACUGGGUCUAAUACCGGAUAGGACCGCAUGCUUCAUGGUGUGUGGUGCAAAGCUUUUGCGGUGUGGGAUGAGCCCGCGGCCUAUCAGCUUGUUGGUGGGGUAAUGGCCUACCAAGGCGACGACGGGUAGCCGGCCUGAGAGGGUGACCGGCCACACUGGGACUGAGAUACGGCCCAGACUCCUACGGGAGGCAGCAGUGGGGAAUAUUGCACAAUGGGCGCAAGCCUGAUGCAGCGACGCCGCGUGAGGGAUGACGGCCUUCGGGUUGUAAACCUCUUUCACCAGGGACGAAGCGCAAGUGACGGUACCUGGAGAAGAAGCACCGGCCAACUACGUGCCAGCAGCCGCGGUAAUACGUAGGGUGCGAGCGUUGUCCGGAAUUACUGGGCGUAAAGAGCUCGUAGGUGGUUUGUCGCGUUGUUCGUGAAAACUCACAGCUUAACUGUGGGCGUGCGGGCGAUACGGGCAGACUAGAGUACUGCAGGGGAGACUGGAAUUCCUGGUGUAGCGGUGGAAUGCGCAGAUAUCAGGAGGAACACCGGUGGCGAAGGCGGGUCUCUGGGCAGUAACUGACGCUGAGGAGCGAAAGCGUGGGUAGCGAACAGGAUUAGAUACCCCGGUAGUCCAA
rnacentral:rRNA from 1 species